AUGGUUGCUGAGUGGUCAGUUGGGCUUUUCGACUGCUUUGGGGAUUUCCGCACCUGUUGCUUGACUUGCUGGUGCCCCUGUGUUACCUUUGGCCGCAUUGCUGAGAUUGCAGACAAAGGCUCCACAUCAUGCUGCAUGCAUGGGACCCUGUAUGUUUUGCUAGGAUCCAUAGGCUGCAACUGGUUGUAUUCUUGUACCAAACGUUCCUCAAUGUGGGCACAGUACAACUUCCAAGGAUCACCCUGCAUGGACUGCUUUGUUCACAUGUGCUGUGAGAGUUGCGCACUAUGCCAAGAGUACAAGCAGCUGGAAAAUCGUGGCUUCAACAUGUCCAAAGGUAUCUCUCCUUGCUGA
rnacentral:rRNA from 1 species